UUUUAUCCUGCGCAAUAAUUGAAGAGGAUUAUUUUGUUCCGCAGUUCAAGGUGCAAAAAGGGCUCCUCUGAUCCUGCAAAUAGCACUAUUUCAUUGGACUUACAUUGGCAUUGAAGAGUUCAAGUGGAUGAAAGUAACCUCGGUCCCAGAAGACUAUUGAGCUGCUCGCUCAUCAAGAGAGAUGACUGGUGGUAUUAUACUGUUCUUCAUCCUCCAACACCUGACUGCAUUAUGUCGUAGCAGAGACACAGGGAACACACUGGGCAGGACAAGAAGAAAGAUCGGGUUCUUCUCGACCCUUACACUCAAAAUCCCCUCCAUUGCACAUGCUACAGUGCUCCAGGAUGCUUGAAGCCUACCGCAGGACCAGAGACAAUGGAUUUGUAUGGCAUGAUCUCCCCUUGAUGAAACCAUGCUGACUUUGCCCAACACCUACGUGUUUUACCAUACACCUCCAAUAUUCAGAAAUCUUAUCCUUCACAAUGGAGUCCAAGUUCGUACCCACAACCAAGGUCAGGCCAAUCGUAUUUCCUUUACACCAUAAAUCACCCCAACUGAGAAGCAUCUGAAGGAAUUCAAUAAGUUCCAGGAAAUCUAGAUGCUGCCACACCUGUUGAAAUUCUCCACAGCCACCUGAUGAAGGAGCAGCAUUCCAAAAGCUAGUGCUUUCAAAUAAA